UAGCGACGGGGAACCAACACGCCUGCGCGAGAUUUAAAGCGGGACGCGACUACGCGCCUCAGCUCACGUGAAUCGCAGGACUAGGUGUGCGCCACCCCACUUCCCCCGACCCGGAAGGAGUUAUAGCAAUAUCGAAAGACCCGUAAAUUUCCGUGGGAAGAGAGGUUGAUGACGCAAAAGACAGGGGAGGACGACGCGCAGAAAUACCCGCUCCUAAAGAAACAGACACAUUUCCAGACCUCAAAGUGCUAGAUGCUUCUGUCUUCAAGGACUUUAAGGACGAAUUUUGGCGUCUGUUGAUUGCUCCGCUUCCUUUAAAUUCUUAAACUAUAGAUAAUGUUGCUAGUUGGAUCCUAGGACCCUCUUUUCACCCUCUAUGCUCCCUUGCUCGCCAGCCCCUCUUUUCCCUCUUUGUGUUUGUGUGUGCUAGAGAGUGCAUGUGAGGAGAUAGUCCUCUGUCACCCUCCACCUUCCUUUUCGACCCAAGGUCUCACUGAACCUGGAGCUCACAAUUGCCUAGACUGGCGCCUGCUGUGUUCCCUGAGAUUAAUGGUGCUGGUUACAACUGACUUUUAUAGUUCCAGCUUUUCAUAAAGGUGGUUGGCGAUCAGAAUUAAGGUCUUGCUGAUGCCUGUGCAGCAGUCUGCCCACCAAGCCAACUCAGGUCUCUCGUUUCCAUCCACCGUCAUCCUGGCUGCCCACAACAUAUAGCCCCUGUCUGUUAUCAUCUGUGUUGUGAAUUAAAUCACGAAUUCUUCAUAGAACCCCCCAAAUGUAUGCAAUUCAGAUCUCUUCUUCGAGUUCCUGACUUCCAUACAAACCACUCAUUUCAAGAAGAAAAGUAUGUGUUUGGUAGUUUUGCCUGCUUGUGUGUCCCGGUACCACGUGGGUGCCUGGUGCCCUUCCAGGUCAGAAGUUAUGGUAUUCCCCAGAACUAGAGUUCAAACGGUUGUGAGGUCCUGUAUGGAUGCUGGCUCUCCAGCCCAGGUCCUCUGGAAGACUAUCAAGUAUUCUUAGCCACUGAACCAUCACCCCAGCGCCUCUAGAUCUCUGGUUGCCUGAAAUGUAGUUGAUUUUACUUACUAAAAAUCUCUCAGACUUAUUUCUGUCUCUGCUAAUUACAACCCUCAUUCCAGUUAUUCUGUCUAAACUCCCGGAACACUUUCCUAAUAGGUUUUCUGAUUUUGAGUUUUUUUUUUCCUCCACCUACACAAUGAAAGCUGAAUGAUCAUUGAAUAACACAUGACACCCUCUAAGUUAGUGCCUUUGUCUCUUAUUGCCCAUUGUUACCUUCUUUUUCUUUUGUACUUUGAAAUUUUAUUUUUACAAAAUUCCAUUUUAUCAAAUAUCCCUGCUAAAUCCAUUUAGCAACAACUGCCAUUUUGAUAAUCUAGUUAUCCAUAUUCAGUUGGAUUUUUUUAAACCAUCUUUUACCACCCUCCAGGUGAUGUCUGAUCGUCUUGAUUGGUGUGUAUAUAUAAGAUCCCUUUCUCAUUGCUGUGGCCAAAUACCCUACACAAGCAGCUGAAGAGAAGUGGUUCUUUUGGCUCCCAGUUUGAGGCUACAAUCCUUCAAGGCCUGCAAGGUGUGGUGGCUGAAAAUGGAUUUGUCUAGUCGGGAAGCCAAGAGUUGAAGGCUGGGGCUCAGUUUACUUUAUCCUUUGUUUCAGUCUGGGACUCCAGUCUAUGGGAUACUGCAGUCCACAGUCAGGCCGAGUCUUCCCCUUUCAGCUAAACUUCUCAGGAAAUGCCCUGACAGACACACCUAAGCAUGUGUCUCCUAGGUGAUUUCAAAUCUAGUCAGGUUGACAGUGAAGAUUAACCACCCUAUCUGUCUUCAGUAAAACCUGUUAGGUAGGCGUAGCCAGAAGUCCACACACCCUGAUACUUCCUCACAGCUAUGAUAUUAAAUAGAAAGGGAAGUUGCAGAAGUAUUUACGCUAUAAUUCCACUUAAUUAUUAAAAGCAAGCAAAACUAUGAUAUUUUAAAUAAAUAGAUUAUAAAAGUAAAAAAAUGCAUGAGAAUAAUGCAAAACUCAGGGUAGCAUUUUCCUGUGGAGGCAGAGUAUGACAGGGAGGAAUACUGUAGCAGUUCCAAUGUAAUUGGCCUUCAUAAUAUCACAGGUAGUGGCACUUGUAGGAAAUGUGACUUUGUUGGAGUAGAUAUGGCCUUGUUGGAGGAAGUAUGUCACUGUGGGGGUGGGCCUUGAGGUUUCCUGUGCUCAGAAUAUCACCAGCGAGUCAGCUGACUUCCUCUUACCUGCACGAUGUAGCAUCCUCAGCUCCAUCACCAUGUCUGCCUGCACGCUGCCGUGCUCCCCAUCGCGAUAAUGGACGGAACCUCUGGAACUGUAAGUGAGACACCCCAAUUAAAAGUUUUCCUUACCAGCUCGAGCAGUGGCUCAGAGUGGUAGGAGCGUCUAACGCUGUGUCCUGGCGCGGUGCCAAGGUUCACGGGUUAGAAUCCCGCCUGCUCUAGCUGCUAUCGAUCGUCAUGGUCACUGCUAUAUGAUCAAUCGAUGGUGAAAUUGGCAUAUCGCUGCUAAUAAUAAUCGGAAAAAAAAAGUUUUCCUUAUAAGAGUUGCCGUGGUUAUGGUGUCUCUUCUUAGCAAUAGUAACCCUAACUAAGACAAGUACCUGGGGAACUCUAAUUUCUUAGAUCAAGUGAUGGGUCCAGGCUAUUCAUUUUAUUAAUCUUGGUAUUGCCUGAACUAUUUUAUAACAAAAGUACAUUAAUUCAAAAUUUAUUGUUAUAUUUCAGGUGUGGAAAAAGUAUAAUUUUGCAUAACUUUAUUUUCUUCUUUUUAUUUAUUUAUUUUUGGGACGAGGUUUUAUUUUGCAGUCCAGACUGACUUCAGAUUCACAGCAAUCCCCCUGUUUCAGCCUCCCAUAUUCUGGAAUCCAGGUUUGAAUCACCAUGUGCAGAUUGCUCAGCACUCAGGAACAGAAAACUGAAGCCUACUGAAGAUGCCUGUGUGUCCAGACAAGACGAUGAAGGAAAGGGUGAGGACAUUGCUUAGUCCGGUCAGAGAAGAUCCUGAUGGAGGAGAAGAUUGAACUGUCUUCAAACCAUAAAAAUUGAGCCUCCAUGAAUGGAAUUCUAUGUCCAACGUGAAAUUUCAAUUGUAGGAAGAAUCAUUUAAAAGGACUUAUGUCGGGAAAUAAUGCUAUGCUUACAUAAAGAGUGACAAUAAGCCCAAGUCACAAAGGAAAAUUUGUACCGCUGUCUCAACUCCUGCUUCUCUGACCCUCGGAGAAACUUCAAAUAGACACUUUUGCUUUGAAAUCAAUAGGAAGCUUCUAGCUGUUGUUUAAAAUGAAGACCACACAGAAGUCAUCCCAGUUCCUCCUGUUUUAGGAAGGAGUUUUGCUCAUCACAGGAUGCAUGGACACAUCCAUUCCUCCCCUGGCAUCAGAGCCUACUUUUUAAAGAUUAUACCAUACGCUGCAGACCAGUUGAGAGGUUCAGUCUUCUGGCCUGAGCAACUCCUGGAUUCUUGGACUUUCCAUCCAUAGCCAGUCAUUGUUGGGGACUGCUGGGGAGGCACCAUCCCAACUCUCCACCUUCACUGAGCAGGAGCAGGAGGUGAAAGAGGUGGAGGAUCUCAUCAUUCAGAUAGAGAGUAUGAAAUAUGAGCAAAUUGAGCUGUGUGGAUUCAUGACCAAUUUUUACUACAAAGAUUUGAACAACAGGUAGCUGUUUAUGCCCAGUUCUCUGCUGACCAUCUUGAUCCCACAGUGCCAAGUCAAGAUUUCCUGAGGAAUAGGAGGCUGAACCUCAGAGGGUCCUGUGCCUAAACUAAUUUUCCUGAAUGCUUCAGAAAGUCAGAAUUUGCAAUCUGGGUAGCUAUGAGAUGAGGAACCGGGUUAUUCUGCUUCCUCCAAAUAAAAAACAGAGCCUGUGACCUGAAUCACACUCCAGGGAUAGGGACAGCAGUGUGUCAGCUUUCAACAUGCCUUAAAAGAGGCCUUGGCAGGUUUUGGUUUGUGAGACAUGCUAGGUCCUGUGAGUUUGUGGUGAGUCUUUGUGCUUGACCAGCAGAUGACUGUGUGCUGAAAAUUCCUGGCAGCAGCUGAGGGGCCUGGUCCCAUCCAUCUAUAUCAGUGUGUUGCUGGAAGGCCCAGAGUUCAUCACUGCUCCUCUCUGGUCUUGUUCUUUAUAAUUUGAGUCCGUGCCACCUCCAUACACUUCAUGGGCAACCUGAUUGUAGGUGUGGGUGGGUGGGGGGAUAGAGGAAUAUGUGGGGAGUGUGUUCUUCUGGGAGCCUGAGGUCUUUGGCAGAGACUGAGGUUUUGGCAUCCUCACAGUUUCUAGGGGAUGCCAGUGCUGAAGCCAGGGAGCCACACUUUGAACAGCACAGCUCUUGGUCACUGUGCUCUACUUGGUGCAGCAUUGGAACCCCCUGUGGA